rnacentral:tRNA from 1 species
GGAGAGGUGCCAGAGUGGACGAUUGGGCGCGCCUGGAGAGCGCGUGCACUCCAAAAGGGUGCCGGGGGUUCGAAUCCCUCCCUCUCCGCCA